CUACGGGUGGCACCAGUGAGGAAUUUUGCGCAAUGGGCGAAAGCCUGACGCAGCAACGCCGCGUGAGUGACGAAGGCCUUCGGGUCGUAAAGCUCUGUCAAGCGGGAAGAACCCGCGGACGUCCAACAAGCGUCCGCGCUGACGGUACCGCUGAAGGAAGCACCGGCUAACUCCGUGCCAGCAGCCGCGGUAAUACGGAGGGUGCGAGCGUUAUUCGGAAUUAUUGGGCGUAAAGGGCGCGCAGGCGGCCCUGAAAGUCAGAUGUGAAAGCCCGGGGCUCAACCCCGGAAGUGCAUUUGAUACUGCAGGGCUUGAGUAUGGGAGAGGGAAGUGGAAUUCCUGGUGUAGAGGUGAAAUUCGUAGAUAUCAGGAGGAACACCGGUGGCGAAGGCGACUUCCUGGACCAAUACUGACGCUGAGGUGCGAAGGCGUGGGGAGCAAACAGGAUUAGAUACCCCUGUAGUC
rnacentral:rRNA from 1 species